CCUACGGGUGGCAGCAGUGGGGAAUAUUGCACAAUGGGGGAAACCCUGAUGCAGCGACGCCGCGUGAGUGAAGAAGUAUUUCGGUAUGUAAAGCUCUAUCAGCAGGGAAGAAGAAAGACGGUACCUGCCUAAGACGCCCCGGCUAACUACGUGCCAGCAGCCGCGGUAAUACGUAGGGGGCAAGCGUUAUCCGGAUUUACUGGGGGUAAAGGGAGCGUAGGCGGCUGUGCAAGUCUGAAGUGAAAGCCCAUGGCUCAACCCUGGGGCUGCUUUGGAAACUGUGGAGCUAGAGUGCAGGAGAGGUAAGUGGAAUUCCUAGUGUAGCGGUGAAAUGCGUAGAGAUUAGGAGGAACACCAGUGGCGAAGGCGGCUUACUGGACAGUAACUGACGUUGAGGCUCGAAAGCGUGGGGAGCAAACAGGAUUAGAUACCCUAGUAGUC
rnacentral:rRNA from 1 species